rnacentral:tRNA from 1 species
GAACCCGUAGCUCAGGCGGAUCAGAGCGCAACCGUGCGAAGGUUGAGGCCGCACGUUCGAGUCGUGCCGGGUUCA